UGCCAGCCGCCGCGGUAAUACGUAUGGUGCAAGCGUUAUCCGGAAUCACUGGGCGUAAAGGGAGCGUAGGCGGUUUUGCAAGUCAGAAGUGAAAGGCUACGGCUCAACCGUAGUAAGCUUUUGAAACUGCAAGACUAGAGUGCAGGAGAGGCAAGUGGAAUUCCUAGUGUAGAGGUGAAAUUCGUAGAUAUUAGGAGGAACACCAGUGGCGAAGGCGACUUGCUGGCACAUUUCUGACGCUGAGGCGCGAAAGCGUGGGGAGCAAACAGGAUUAGAUA
rnacentral:rRNA from 1 species